AGCAGGCAGCAGACCUUUUGAGAGACACAGUGAACGUUGGCUGCUUUUUUCAUCUGAACAGUCUCAUGGAAUGGUCUAAUCCUUCCCCCUAGUGGACAUGUAUCAGCAGUGUUUUCAUAUAGUUCAAGUUUAUUUCAGAAAACACCUUGCAAUUGAAAACACAGUGAUGGAGUUAGACACGUUAGCUGUAGAUCAGAGGUGUUUAGCUCACUUUGAAAGCUCUGGCACCUACAAUGAUCUGGGGAAGAACUGACAAGUCCCCAUAGGGAGGAGGGUGGUUGACAGGACAGCAGUGGAAGACUCAGCAGAUUGUGUGUUUGAUUUGAUUUGAAUUGUAAAUGCAAUUGUUUCCCAUCAAAACAUCUAUUCUAAAAUAAAUAAAUGCAAAACCAGUCAAGUAAAGAUCAAGUAAUCACUUAUGUGGAUGCUUAUCAUCUGGAUAUUAAUUCUGUUUCAAAAUGUAUUGAAUUUGUAAGCACAGCUUGCACUAACUGUGUCAUACACUUAGCAGGUUGCAGUUUCCUUCCCUAAUAUAUUUUUACGUGACUACAUGUAAGAGUGCACACUACUGAAACUUAUUAAA